AAAAUAGGUCGAGGGCGUUUGAUUGACUAUGUUAGGGAACGGAGCUUCCUCUCUAAUCAAUGAGGAAUGAUGCGCAAGAAACUUGGGAGGA
rnacentral:sRNA from 1 species